rnacentral:rRNA from 1 species
GUGAACGCUGGCGGUAGGCCUAACACAUGCAAGUCGAACGGCAGCACAGUAAGAGCUUGCUCUUACGGGUGGCGAGUGGCGGACGGGUGAGGAAUACAUCGGAAUCUACUUUUUCGUGGGGGAUAACGUAGGGAAACUUACGCUAAUACCGCAUACGACCUACGGGUGAAAGCAGGGGAUCUUCGGACCUUGCGCGAUUGAAUGAGCCGAUGUCGGAUUAGCUAGUUGGCGGGGUAAAGGCCCACCAAGGCGACGAUCCGUAGCUGGUCUGAGGGGAUGAUCAGCCACACUGGAACUGAGACACGGUCCAGACUCCUACGGGAGGCAGCAGUGGGGAAUAUUGGGCAAUGGGCGCAAGCCUGAUCCAGCCAUACCGCGUGGGUGAAGAAGGCCUUCGGGUUGUAAAGCCCUUUUGUUGGGAAAGAAAAGCAGCAGGUUAAUACCCCGCUGUUCUGACGGUACCCAAAGAAUAAGCACCGGCUAACUUCGUG